UAAAUAGGCGGAGGAAAAGAAACUAACUAGGAUUGGUCCAGUAACGGCGAGUGAAGCGCCAACAGCCCAGCAUGUGAAUCGUCACUUGUGUCGAAUUGUGGUAUGCAGACCCUUCCACUGAGCUCACGGGUUAAGUCCUCUGGAAUGGGGCAGCAUAGAGGGUGAGACUCCCGUAUGCCUGUAAGCGUGGGGACUGGUCAAGGAGUCGAGUUGUUUGGGAUUGCAGCUCCAAGUGGGUGGUAAAUUCCAUCCAAGGCUAAAUACUGGUGAGAGACCGAUAGCGUACAAGUACCGUGAGGGAAAGAUGCAAAGCCGCGCGAGAGCGCCGUUAAAGAGUACCUGAAAUUGCUGAAAUGGAAGCGAAGGAAAACCAGUGCUAGUCAACCUGCACUUCUCUGGCGGCUUGCGGCCGGGGCGCUGCGGGGUGGCGAUGUUCUACCUGGUGGCACACAGCAGAUAGUUUUGGUGCUGUGGGUUAUGAGGCUGAACAAAAUGGUUUCCUUCUUCCCG
rnacentral:rRNA from 1 species